UGCAUAUUAAUUUAUAUACAUUAUUGCGCGAGUUAAUGUAACGGGAAUUAUUAAUAAAGUUCCGCGGUAUGUACGGUUGAUUUUAUAAUAUUUAGUCCGCUUUUCACUCAUACAUUCGUACAUUUUGUCAAGCCACACAAUCUUACUAUAAUAUAAAUAGGAACUCUGUAGAAAAUGUUUGUUUGUAGGACGUCAAAAAUAUUAAAAACUACUAGACCGACUUUGAAAAAAAUUUUAUUUUUAUCGUGUCACGAGUCACCGUUAAUCGUCACUGAAACUUUAUCUAUAAAAUUGUUUUUUUUUUUUUUUUAUAAAUCAAAAUCGGCUUAGUAGUUUUAGAUAUGUUCGCUACUAAAAUAACAACACAUGAUGAAGUAAUACAUACAAGUGCUAGUAAAUGUGAUAAUUGUAUUGAUGGUCAGAAGAAUUGCAUGAUGAUACGAGGAUGUAGAGGGAGUGAUUUGGUGGUUGCCUGUGAGAUAAGAGUAAGGGAAGGGGUAGAUAAUUAUAUACACAGUUUUUUAAUUUGUCACAGACCACGCCGUGCAAGACAACUGAUAUUCAAUAAACAAAAAAAUGGUCUUCGAAAAAUGUGUGCCACUACUGUACGAUUGGAAGUUGGAAAGAUAGA